CCCUCUCUCUCUCUCCGUUUCCCAAUCCUUUCUCUCCCUCCCGAUCUCUGCUUCAUCUCUCUCAUUCUCCUCCCUCUCUCUCCAGUGCAUCUCUGCCGUCUCUUCUAUCUCUCUCCAUUGUAGCAGCUGUGAAGCUCCUACCCGAAGAAACACAUGUUGUGAAGCUCCUCUCCAUAGCUCUACAGUCCUUUCUACAAGUAGCUGCGAGGCGUCAACCUCUUUUUCUCUCACUGCAUCUCUCCCUCCAAACAUGUCUCUGAUCGUAAAUGAAGAUUUCUAGCACAUUCUUCGUGUUUUGAACACGAAUAUGGAUGAGAAUCGAGAUCUGAUCUUGUGAUGUUCGGUUAGGGUUCACUAAUUUUGAUAAUUAAUCUUGAUACUGGUUAGUGAUUUGGUGAAUAUGAUCGGAUUGUAUGCUCAAUGGCACUCGCAUUUGCUCCCUUACUAUUCGUUUGAUCAGUUCAUACACAAGGUGGAACAAGUAGGUGCCACCAAGUGUGUACAGGAUGUGCAAGCAUGUAGGAGAAUUUGAAUGGACUUUUUUGUCUGACCUUGAGGGAGGCCAAUUGCCAAUAAAAGACUCCCAUGAUGGUUUGGAAGGUAAAUUAUGGAUGAAUUUGGAUGGUGACCUCUCUCCCAUAUGUUUGAAUAUCUUGCCAUUACUUUCCUCUUCCUCACAGUGGUCUUCAUCCUCUUUACAGAUUCUUCCUGCUAACUUUCUAUUACUCUCUGCUAUGAGUCAUUGAUCUCAUUGAACUCUUUCACAAUACUUACAAUCAGAAUUAUGAUUGGCAGA